rnacentral:rRNA from 1 species
GACGAACGCUGGCGGCGUGCCUAAUACAUGCAAGUAGAACGCUGAAGCGAGGAGCUUGCUCUUCUUGGAUGAGUUGCGAACGGGUGAGUAACGCGUAGGUAACCUGCCUGGUAGCGGGGGAUAACUAUUGGAAACGAUAGCUAAUACCGCAUAAAAUUGAUUAUUGCAUGAUAAUUAAUUGAAAGAUGCAACUGCAUCACUACCAGAUGGACCUGCGUUGUAUUAGCUAGUUGGUGAGGUAACGGCUCACCAAGGCGACGAUACAUAGCCGACCUGAGAGGGUGAGCGGCCACACUGGGACUGAGACACGGCCCAGACUCCUACGGGAGGCAGCAGUAGGGAAUCUUCGGCAAUGGGGGGAACCCUGACCGAGCAACGCCGCGUGAGUGAAGAAGGUUUUCGGAUCGUAAAGCUCUGUUGUAAGAGAAGAACGGGUGUGAGAGUGGAAAGUUCACACUGUGACGGUACCUUACCAGAAAGGGACGGCUAACUACGUG